AUUGAACGCUGGCGGCAGGCCUAACACAUGCAAGUCGAACGGUAACAGGAAGAAGCUUGCUUCUUUGCUGACGAGUGGCGGACGGGUGAGUAAUGUCUGGGAAACUGCCUGAUGGAGGGGGAUAACUACUGGAAACGGUAGCUAAUACCGCAUAACGUCGCAACACCAAAGAGGGGGACCUUCGGGCCUCUUGCCAUCGGAUGUGCCCAGAUGGGAUUAGCUAGUAGGUGGGGUAACGGCUCACCUAGGCGACGAUCCCUAGCUGGUCUGAGAGGAUGACCAGCCACACUGGAACUGAGACACGGUCCAGACUCCUACGGGAGGCAGCAGUGGGGAAUAUUGCACAAUGGGCGCAAGCCUGAUGCAGCCAUGCCGCGUGUAUGAAGAAGGCCUUCGGGUUGUAAAGUACUUUCAGCGGGGAGGAAGGGAGUAAAGUUAAUACCUUUGCUCAUUGACGUUACCCGCAGAAGAAGCACCGGCUAACUCCGUG
rnacentral:rRNA from 1 species